UGAAACUUUCGGGGAAAUGUUAACGUUCAGCAAGUCUGUUCCAGUAGCCGAAGUCUGAGCUCAACACACGUCCCAGCCAGGACUCCUGAGCCUCCGAGCCUUCUGCGGCCACACAUCUCCGAACAAAAGACAAAGGCCACCACCCUGCCUGAUUAACACCGAAACCAGACCAGAAACACACGGACACUGCCCUCCGUUAACGGUUCCUCGAAUACUGAGCUCCAAAUUAUUCCAGAGCCCGAACCAGAUGCCAUAUGCAAUGACAAACACCACCCCACCAGUUGUCAAUCACCUACAAGAGGAGUGACCCGCGAAGACCCUAAACCCUGACCUCGGGACUCCAGUUCUGCUCUUCUCGCUCAGCCCUCUCUCCGGAAAGCGUCCGACGAGGGGCUGCUACGUUUCUGCCGCGUUUCUAUGGACAACGGAAUACGGGCUUCCAGCUUUUCCUUAUGAGGUAAUAUACUCGCGCCGCCAUGGCCUCGGCGCUCUGGAGGCCGCCAUCUUUGGGACCCUAACGUACAACUUGGCGGCCGCUUUUGCGUCAGUGACGUGACGGUGAGAGACCGCUACUGAAACUGUCCCAUUUUCCCGCACCUCAGCCUUUAAAGGGAAAUGAAGAGGUUUUAGAGCCUCGAGCUCACGCAAGGCAGACAUGACGUGGAGGUAACCUGCGAACGGCCAGGGCCUCGUUGUAGGGGACCGUGAACGGCUCAAAGUUUUCGAAGGCCAGAGCCCAUUAGGACCCAAAGGGCGCAGCGUACAUUCCGAGCGGCUUUUAAAGCUGUGACGUCUCAGCUCGGUGGGAAAUUAACUUCUGAACACCUCGAUCACUAGUCUAAUUGCGAAAAGAUUUAGAAGUCGAAUAAAAACUUUAGCACGCUUUAGCCCUGUGGCGCUUGCGCCGUUAGGCAAGGGCCCCAUGGGCGCGGCCAUCUUUGAGGGGGUUCGGCGUCCGUACGGAACAAGCGCGUUCCGGGGAGCUCAGCGUGGGACUGGCAGGUGGCAGUGCCUUUCGAAGACUAACAAGGUUUGGAAAAGCGAGAUGAUAUGGGGCAUGCAGCGAUCCCAAAGUGGGAACAAUGGUCGUUGUGAGCCUCUUCCCAGCCUCAGCCCAACCACGCCACUUGCCUGGCCCAAGUACAGAACAUGCUACAUCCUAGACAGGAUUAGAACUGCCUUCUGUCACUAUAGUCUGCAUUUUACGAAUAGAACCUUAGUGUACGUACUCUUUUUAUCUGGCUUCUUCCACACAGCAUAAUUGUUUUUAAAUUCAUUACUGUUUUUAAUAUCAGUAGUUCGCUCCCUUUUGUUGCUUAGUAUUCCAUUGUAUGGGUGUUAGAAAACGUGUUGAAUCAUUUACCAGUUGGUGGACCUUCGGGUUAUUUCCAGUGUUCGGGAUAUUGAACUGCUGUGAUCGUUCAUGUGCAAAAAAUAAAAUGACCUCAAAGAACUGUACUUCCCGCAGUUCUGCAUCACCUCACCAAGAGGUCUUUGCCAGCCAUCUGCAGGCCUACUACCCACUUCCAGCCCUGCUCCCGCUCAUAUUUUCCUCCUCCACCCACCCCUGAGCUGGAAGGCUCACUCCCCCUGAGGAACCAGAGAUCUUGAGAACACAGGCUGUGACACAGAUGCCAGGUUCACCUACUUGCCUGCAUUAUGUUCAACCCCACAGGCCAUUAUAAUUCUCAGAACACACCUGAUACAGUCAUGUGACCGCAGGUCAAAGCAGGAAGUCAGUUCCAUCCUUCCUCGCUUCUCCAUCAUUACUGUGCUAGCCCAGUCUCUCACCUGAGAAACUAAAAUUGUCCCUGCUUGCACCCUCGGCCUGUACUAUCUCGUCUUCAUAGAGCAGGCAAGGCGAUCCUGGUAAAACAAAUCAAUCAUGAAAUUUUCCCAUUCUCAAUUAUCUAAUGAUUGCAUUACGGAAUAAAAUCUUGAGUACUGAGAUGGCCAAGCUUAGCUGCUUAAAAACAUAUGUUGGAGUGAAUUUACCUGAUAAUGCAGGAUUUGUGAGGGAAAUGUAAGACAGCUACUGCACAGCAAAUUUCCAUUUCUUGUUCUCUAAGCAGGACUCAAAUUUUGGCAGGAUAUCUUGAUUGGACCAAAGGAAAGACUCUGGAGAGAGGACAAGAGCCCCACUCAUAACAGUAAGAAGGAAUGAAAAAGAAGGAAAAUCACAUGUCCGAUUAAGCAGGUCACAGAGGAGAUGGCAUCUCAGAAAUGAUAGCGGCUGUCGAAGAUGACACAUCUGUGAACAAAUAAAUAGGUUUCUUCUCUAAGACAUCCCCAGGGGACCUUACCUCCUCUCUCUAUACUUUCCACCAUCUUAGCCAAGGGUUUCAAGAUUUUGAUUUUACUUAUCCUGACAAUCCUAUUCCUUUUCUGCUCGCCUCCAUUUAUAUUCAGACAGACAUUGAGUCUAAUAACACAGAUAUACAAAA